rnacentral:rRNA from 1 species
UGGGGAAUUUUGGACAAUGGGGGAAACCCUGAUCCAGCCAUCCCGCGUGUGCGAUGAAGGCCUUCGGGUUGUAAAGCACUUUUGGCAGGAAAGAAACGUCAUGGGUUAAUACCCCGUGAAACUGACGGUACCUGCAGAAUAAGCACCGGCUAACUACGUGCCAGCAGCCGCGGUAAUACGUAGGGUGCAAGCGUUAAUCGGAAUUACUGGGCGUAAAGCGUGCGCAGGCGGUUCGGAAAGAAAGAUGUGAAAUCCCAGAGCUCAACUUUGGAACUGCAUUUUUAACUACCGGGCUAGAGUGUGUCAGGGGGAGGUGGAAUUCCGCGUGUAGCAGUGAAAUGCGUAGAUAUGCGGAGGAACACCGAUGGCGAAGGCAGCCUCCUGGGAUAACACUGACGCUCAUGCACGAAGGCGUGGGGAGCAAACAGG